rnacentral:misc_RNA from 1 species
AACCAUUCUCACCUGCGGCUAGACCUGCGGAAGGAUCAUUACCGAGUUAUACAACUCAUCAACCCCUGUGAACUUACCUACAACGUUGCUUCGGCGGGAACAGACGGCCCCGUAAAACGGGCCGCCCCCGCCAGAGGACCCCUAACUCUGUUUUUAUAAUGUUUUUCUGAGUAAACAAGCAAAUAAAUUAAAACUUUUAACAACGGAUCU